CUGAAACCGUGUACGUACAAGCAGUGGGAGCACCCUUUGGGGUGUGACUGCGUACCUUUUGUAUAAUGGGUCAGCGACUUAUAUUCUGUAGCAAGGUUAACCGAAUAGGGGAGCCGGAGGGAAACCGAGUCUUAACCGGGCGUUAAGUUGCAGGGUAUAGACCCGAAACCCGGUGAUCUAGCCAUGGGCAGGUUGAAGGUUGGGUAACACUAACUGGAGGACCGAACCGACUAAUGUUGAAAAAUUAGCGGAUGACCUGUGGCUGGGGGUGAAAGGCCAAUCAAACCGGGAGAUAGCUGGUUCUCCCCGAAAGCUAUUUAGGUAGCGCCUCGUGAAUUCAUCUCCGGGGGUAGAGCACUGUUUCGGCUAGGGGGCCAUCCCGGCUUACCAACCCGAUGCAAACUGCGAAUACCGGAGAAUGUUAUCACGGGAGACACACGGCGGGUGCUAACGUCCGUCGUGAAGAGGGAAACAACCCAGACCGCCAGCUAAGGUCCCAAAGUCAUGGUUAAGUGGGAAACGAUGUGGGAAGGCCCAGACAGCCAGGAUGUUGGCUUAGAAGCAGCCAUCAUUUAAAGAAAGCGUAAUAGCUCACUGGUCGAGUCGGCCUGCGCGGAAGAUGUAACGGGGCUAAACCAU
rnacentral:rRNA from 1 species